rnacentral:rRNA from 1 species
UACAGAGGUCUCAAGCGUUUGUUCGGAUUCAUUGGGCGUAAAGGGUGCGUAGGCGGCGUCGGUAAGUCGGGUGUGAAAUUCGUGCUUAACUCCGAAACUGCAUUCGAUACUGCCGUGCUUGAGGACUGGAGAGGAGACUGGAAUUUACGGUGUAGCAGGUGAAAUGCGUAGAUAUCGUAAGGAAGACCAGUGGCGAAGGCG